AAAGGUGUGCUAAUACCGCAUAAUCUCUGAGGAGAAAAGCAGGGGAUCGUAAGACCUUGCGCUUUUGGAGCGGCCGAUGUCUGAUUAGCUUGUUGGUAAGGUAAAAGCUUACCAAGGCUUCGAUCAGUAGCUGGUCUGAGAGGACGGCCAGCCACACUGGGACUGAGACACGGCCCAGACUCCUACGGGAGGCAGCAGUGGGGAAUUUUGGACAAUGGGGGCAACCCUGAUCCAGCCAUGCCGCGUGAGUGAAGAAGGCCUUCGGGUUGUAAAGCUCCUUCAGCCGGAACGAAACGGUUACGGUUAAUACCCGUGACUACUGACGGUACCGGAAGAAGAAGCACCGGCUAACUACGUGCCAGCAGCCGCGGUAAUACGUAGGGUGCAAGCGUUAAUCGGAAUUACUGGGCGUAAAGCGUGCGCAGGUGGUUUUGUAAGUCAGAUGUGAAAUCCCCGGGCUUAACCUGGGAACUGCGUUUGAAACUACAAGGCUAGAGUGUGGCAGAGGGGGGUGGAAUUCCGCGUGUAGCAGUGAAAUGCGUAGAUAUGUGGAGGAACACCGAUGGCGAAGGCAGCCCCCUGGGUCAACACUGACGCUCAGGCACGAAAGCAUGGGGAGCAAACAGGAUUAGAUACCCUGGUAGUCCAUGCCCUAAACGAUGUCAACUAGUUGUCGGGCCUUAACGGGCUUGGUAACGUAGCUAACGCGUGAAGUUGACCGCCUGGGGAGUACGAUCGCAAGAUUAAAACUCAAAGGAAUUGACGGGGACCCGCACAAGCGGUGGAUUAUGUGGAUUAAUUCGAUGCAGCGCGAAAAACCUUACCUACCCUUGACAUGUAUCGAAGCCCGCAGAGAAGUGGGUGUGCCCGAAAGGGAACGAUAACACAGGUGCUGCAUGGCUGUCGUCAGCUCGUGUCGUGAGAUGUUGGGUUAAGUCCCGCAACGAGCGCAACCCUUGUCAUUAAUUGCCAUCAUUUGGUUGGGCACUUUAGCGAGACUGCCGGUGACAAGCCGGAGGAAGGUGGGGAUGACGUCAAGUCCUCAUGGCCCUUA
rnacentral:rRNA from 1 species